rnacentral:tRNA from 1 species
GGGCCUCUAGCUCAUGCUGGUUAGAGCAGUGGACUCAUAAUCCAUUGGUGCCGUGUUCGACUCACGGGGGGCCCACCA